rnacentral:rRNA from 1 species
GGGUCAGUAGGUUGGUCGUGCCACCGGUACGUACUGGUCUCACUGAUUCCUCCUUCCUGAAGAACCGUAAUGCCAUUAAUUGGGUGUUGCGGGGAAACAGGACUGUUACUUUGAAAAAAUUAGAGUGUUUAAAGCGAGCUAACGCUUGAAUACAUUAGCAUGGAAUAAUGAAAUAGGACGAUCGAUCCUAUUUUGUUGGUUUCUAGGAUUGACGUA